rnacentral:rRNA from 1 species
UACGUAGGGUGCAAGCGUUAAUCGGAAUUACUGGGCGUAAAGCGUGCGCAGGCGGUCUUGCAAGACAGAUGUGAAAUCCCCGGGCUCAACCUGGGAACUGCAUUUGUGACUGCAAGGCUGGAGUACGGUAGAGGGGGAUGGAAUUCCGCGUGUAGCAGUGAAAUGCGUAGAUAUGCGGAGGAACACCGAUGGCGAAGGCAAUCCCCUGGACCUGUACUGACGCUGAGGUGCGAAAGCGUGGGGAGCAAACAGG